GAGAUUUUAUCUUAAUAAAAGUAUCUGAGUUGCAUUCAGAAGAUGAUGGUUAAUACCCUUCAAAUCUUA
rnacentral:tRNA from 1 species